rnacentral:pre_miRNA from 1 species
ACCAUUACCAUCUUACUGGGCAGCAUUGGAUGGUGUCUGUGUUUCUAAUACUGCCUGGUAAUGAUGAUGAUGGG